GGGGCGGUAAUUCAGUUGAUAGAAUGCCGGACUGUCGAUCCGGAUGUCGCGGGUUUGAGUCCCGUCCGCCCCGCCA
rnacentral:tRNA from 1 species